rfam:Triticum urartu cultivar G1812 contig77419, whole genome shotgun sequence.
UAAGUACUCCCUCCGUCUGGAAAUACUUCUCACCAAAAUGGAUAAAAGAGGAUGUAUCAAGACAUAUUUUAGUUUUAGAUACAUCUCUUUUUAUCCAUUUUGAUGACAAGUAUUUUCGGACCGAGUACCUU